rnacentral:tRNA from 1 species
AGCUUUGUGGUGUGCAACACAUAGGAUUGCAAAUCCUAAGAAGUAGAUUAAAGAUCUACCGGGGCUU